ACCUGAUUCUGUGAGGGUUCUCCCUGCUCCUCCUACCCCUCCUUUCCCUGCUCCCUGUUUCCACUUACCUUGUUUGGCUUUUCCUGGGCGGGCCCCAAUCAUGCACCUGCUGAGCUCCACUCCUGAUCCUCAUCUAGCAAUCAUCUCCUACAAUAAAAGACCUGCUGACCUGCUCUACAGUGCCAGAUCGUUCCGUCAUUCCCUGUGCACUUCAUUUGGAGCCAGCCUCAUCCCAUACCCACCUGUUUCUGUAAGCCUCCGGUCAGCCUCCAUCUCCACAGACCUCCCAUCUGCAGCCAACCCGGACCCGUCCUGCCUCCCCUGGAAUCUAUCCCUCCGUCAAGACUAUUUUUGUUAAAUAAAUACUUUUUUCCCUCUGCA